ensembl:lncRNA
GGUUGUGACAUCAGUGCUCUUAACUCUAUUUAAAGAGAACCCACCGACUGGGUAUAGCUCAUUGUCUUCGCAUCAUUACACCUGAUCAACUGCUGAAAUUAACUGUGACUCAAAGAACUGACCACCAAGAUUAUGAUGAAGACUGUAAUCUUUUUGGGAUGCCUCCUGGGUCUGUCAUUGGCUCUUCCUGCUGAUGUGGAUCACUUGAGAGUUGCACGUUCCAGCUCUGACUCCAACUCUAACUCAAACUCCAGGGAGGCUGGUUCCUUUCUGCCCUCCCUGCCACAGUUGAAUUCAAAUCAGCUACUUCAACUUCUACUUAAACUGUUUGCUGCCUCUGUCCCAGCACCAGCCCCUGCCCCAGCUCCUGCACCUUCCCCAGCCCCUUCACCUGCCCCUGCCCCUUCACCUGCCCCUGCCCCAGCCCCUGCUCCUGCUCCUGCUCCUGCUCCUGCUCCUGCUCCUGCUCCUGCUCCUGCUCCUGCUCCUGCUCCCCCUGCCCCAGCACCUGCCCCAGCCCCUGCUCCUGCUCCAGCCCCAUCCCCUGCUCCUGCCCCAGCCCCUGCUCCUGCCCCAGCCCCUGCUCCAGCCCCAUCCCCUGCUCCGACCCCAGCCCCAGCCCCUGCCCCAGGUGGACGUUAAACAGGUGAAGUCAUGUUACAGUAACCCAGCCAUUAUUCAUUUCAUAUCUCAACAUGUAUAUUAGUUUCCCCCACUGGUGUAAAGCACUUAAGUAAAAAAUACUUUAAAGUACUACUUAAAUAGUUUUCUGUACUUUACUUUACUAUAUAUAUUUCGGACAACUUUUACUUCACAAAAUUCCUAAAGAAAAAAAUGCACAUUUUACCCCAUACAUAUUCCUUGACCUCCAAAAAUACUUUUUGAAUGCUUUGCAGGACAGGAACAAAUGCAUACGCUUAUCAAGAGAACAUCCCUGGUCAUCCCUACUGCCUCUGAUCUGGUGGACUCACAAAACACAAAUGCUUAGUUUCUAAAGAUGUCUGAGUGUUGGAGUGUACCCCUGGCUAUCCGUAAAUAAAGUAAACAAGAAAAUGGUGCCGUCUGGUUUGUUUAAUAUAAGGUUUUUGAAAUGAUUUAUACUUUCACUUUUACAUUUGAUACUUAAGUAUAUUUGAGCAAUUACAUAUACUUUUGAUACUUAAGUAUAUUUAAAACCAAAUACUUUUAGACUGUUACUCAAGUUGUAUUUAACUGGGUAACUUUCAUUUCUAUUAAGGUAUUUUUACUUUCACUCAAGUAUGACAAUUGGGUACCUUUCCCAACACUGGAUUCCCCAAACAUCAUAAGUACAAUGUAUAUCCUUUAAAUUCAUUAAUUCACUUUUCAGUCGAUCAGGUAUUUCAUGGAACUCCCAGACAUUGACUAUGAAGUGUGAUUCCUUUAUGCAUUUCUGUUUAAUAAACACAUUAAUAUUUCAAGCUCAAUUGUAUGUCUGUCCAGUCCUCUGAUGAAUGCUCAUUAAGUUUAUGAAAAUUGUGAGAAAUCUAUACAAAGUGUGUUACAUUACAUUGCGUUAUUUAAUAAAUAAAUAAAAGUGUUGUACAUUAUAUUGCAUGAUAGGAGAAAAUCUAAAUAAAGUCUGGUAAUUGAGUUAUAUUGUGUAAGUUAAGAAAUUAAAGUUAAACAUUACAAUUAAAUGUGUUCAUUUAGCCUCCGCAAUGCCCCAAAACAGGUAGAUGAAUCAUCGACAGUUUCAAAACCUUUCAAUUUAGCUAAAGUUUCCUAAUACUGAUGAGACAUUGUUCUUUGUGGGCACUGUGGAUAUACAGAUUUGUAGGAUUAC